UUGGAGAUUUACCACAGUAACUUUAUUGUUACUGUGGUAACUGAGUUAAAAGACUUGGGAAGUUACCUUGCAUCCAUUUGGAGAGUGAAUCACGCCAGGAGGAGUCUGGAUAAGCAAGGAGGAGUUUGGAUAAGGUCUGGUCAAGGCUAGAGAGCUUUAGACAGGCUGGCACCAGCUGGAAAGCUAAAGCAAGAUACCCAAGCAUGUGAGGAACCUUAUUGGCCAGUUUGAAUCAAGCAUCUUUGACUACACAUGCCUCUUAUCCUAGCUAGACUGAACCUGGACGAAAUUAUGUAUCCCUAAUCUAUAUGUGUUGUAAACUCUCUCAUUAAUCAAUCUAAUGGAGUUUUGAGUCUCUCUCUCUAUUCUCUCACUAAAAUCUCUUAAUCUCUUUAAUCUUUUCAUCUGAUUAUCCCUGAUUAGUUGAAUCAUGCUCUAAUACACAAAAGUAUAUACACUCUAUCUUGUAUCUCACGGUUGAGUCCACCAAGAAAUCGUGCCAUAGUAGCUUCACUGUCCUCAGAUACACAAGCUC
rnacentral:lncRNA from 1 species